rnacentral:rRNA from 1 species
UUAAAAAGCUCGUAGUUGAACCUUGGGCCUGGCUGGCCGGUCCGCCUCACCGCGUGUGCUGGUCCGGCCGGGCCUUUCCCUCUGUGGAACCCCAUGCCCUUCACUGGGUGUGGCGGGGAAACAGGACUUUUACUUUGAAAAAAUUAGAGUGCUCCAGGCAGGCCUAUGCUCGAAUACAUUAGCAUGGAAUAAUAGAAUAGGACGUGUGGUUCUAUUUUGUUGGUUUCUAGGACCGCCGUAAUGAUUAAUAGGGACAGUCGGGGG